GAACAGCCUCUGGUCGAUGGA
rnacentral:sRNA from 1 species